rnacentral:piRNA from 1 species
UGGUCAGUUACUAAUUUCAUAACCUUCAGAUC